rnacentral:rRNA from 1 species
UACGGGGGGGGCAAGCGUUGUUCGGAAUUACUGGGCGUAAAGGGCGCGUAGGCGGUUUGCUAAGUUGAAUGUGAAAACUCUGGGCUUAACCCAGAGCCUGCAUUCAAUACUGGCAGACUAGAGUUCUGGAGGGGAUAGCGGAAUUCCUGGUGUAGCGGUGAAAUUCGUAGAUAUUAGGAAGAACACCAGUGGCGAAGGCGGCUCACUGGCCCGGUACUGACGCUGAGGCGCGAAAGCGUGGGGAGCAAACAGG